AUACAGAGGGUGCGAGCGUUAAUCGGAAUUACUGGGCGUAAAGCGCGCGUAGGCGGCUUGGUCAGUCGGAUGUGAAAGCCCCGGGCUCAACCUGGGAAUGGCAUUCGAUACUGCCAGGCUAGAGUAUGGGAGAGGGAAGUGGAAUUUCCGGUGUAGCGGUGAAAUGCGUAGAUAUCGGAAGGAACACCAGUGGCGAAGGCGACUUCCUGGCCCAAUACUGACGCUGAGGUGCGAAAGCGUGGGGAGCGAACAGGAUUAGAAACCCGAGUAGUCC
rnacentral:rRNA from 1 species